rnacentral:rRNA from 1 species
GAGAAGACACAGGAAUACCUUCAGUAACGGCGAAGUGAAGCGGUAAAGCUCAAAUUUGAAAUCUGGCUCUUUUAGAGUCCGAAUUGUAAUUUGUAGARGAKGCUUCGGGUGUGGUUCCGGUCUAAGUUCCUUGGAACAGGACGUCAUAGAGGGUGAGAAUCCCGUAUGUGACUGGAUACCUAUGCUCAUGUGAAGCUCUUUCGACGAGUCGAGUUGUUUGGGAAUGCAGCUCAAAAUGGGAGGUAUAUUUCUUCUAAAGCUAAAUAUUGGCCAGAGACCGAUAGCGCACAAGUAGAGUGAUCGAAAGAUGAAAAGCACUUUGGAAAGAGAGUUAAACAGUACGUGAAAUUGUUGAAAGGGAAGCGCUUGCAAUCAGACUUGCACUUGGUGUUCAUCAGGGUCUCGUACCCUGUGUACUUCAUCAAGUUCAGGCCAGCAUCAGUUUGAGUGGUUAGAUAAAGGCUUAGAGAAUGUGGCCCUCUUCGGGGGGUGUUAUAGCUCUAGGUGCAAUGUAGCCUACUUGGACUGAGGACCGCGCUUCGGCUAGGAUGCUGGCGUAAUGGUUGUAAGCGACCCGUCUUGAAACACGGACCAAGGAGUGUACCUAAUAUGCGAGUGUUUGGGUGUUAAACCCAUACGCGUAAUGAAAGUGAACGCUGGUGAGAACCCUUAAGGGUGCAUCAUCGACCGAUCUUGAUGUCUUCGGAUGGAUUUGAGUAAGAGCAUAUUGGGUGCGACCCGAAAGAUGGUGAUCUAUACGUGAAUAGGGUGAAGCCAGAGGAAACUCUGGUGGAGGCUCGCAGCGGUUCUGACGUGCAAAUCGAUCGUCAAAUUUGCGUAUAGGGGCGAAAGACUAAUCGAACCAUUAAGGAAUAGACCAAGCUCUAGGUGGUUGAGAAACCCCCUUGGGGUAUUAGUCCUGGAGACAGGGCGACAUUGUCAAAUUGUUCGGGGACCACCUGCUAAAUUACAUACUACCGCAGCAGUGCUGAAAGGCCUGUGAGCACUAGAGGUAACGCCUCUAGGGAUGGUAAUAACGUAUGUAUAGGGUAUAUCCGCAGCGAAGUUCUAAGGCCUCACGGCUACGAAUCGCGUUCACAGACUAGACGGCAAUGGGCUUCCUAACGGGGCUUAAGAUAUAGUCGAACCCCUUCAGAGAUGAGGA